CCAACGGCUCUUUUAAGAGCCACCCAAGUUUUCUCAAAAAGGGCUG
rfam:Fulmarus glacialis contig68146, whole genome shotgun sequence.